UAAAAAGGACCAAUCAAUCAAAUCAAACUGACUCAUCUCCGGUCGUCUCCUCUCGCUCCUCGCGGCUCCAAAGGCAAAGAGCUCCACGCUUAAAGGUUCUUCAGUGAUCGGAGAUGGCGGAGAAGCCGGCGCCGGAGCAGGAGCAGAAGCGAGCGAUGGACCCGGCCGUUCUCGACGAUAUAAUUCGCCGUCUGGUUGAGUUUCGGAACACGAGGCCUGGAUCGGGCAAGCAAGUUCACCUCAGCGAAGGUGAAAUCCGUCAGCUUUGUGCUGUCUCCAAAGAAAUCUUUCUCCAGCAACCUAAUCUUCUCGAACUCGAAGCUCCCAUCAAGAUCUGCGGUGAUAUUCACGGGCAGUAUUCAGAUCUAUUGAGGCUUUUUGAGUAUGGAGGCUUCCCUCCUGAAGCCAAUUAUUUGUUCCUAGGUGAUUACGUAGACCGUGGAAAGCAAAGCUUGGAAACAAUAUGCCUUCUCCUAGCUUACAAAAUCAAGUACCCUGAGAACUUCUUCUUGUUGAGAGGGAACCACGAAUGUGCCUCCAUUAACCGUAUUUAUGGCUUCUACGACGAGUGCAAACGCAGGUUCAACGUCAGGCUCUGGAAAAUAUUCACAGAUUGCUUCAACUGUCUCCCUGUGGCUGCUUUAAUCGAUGACAGAAUACUAUGUAUGCAUGGUGGGAUUUCACCAGAGCUGACAAGUUUGGACCAGAUUAGGAACAUUUCACGCCCCAUGGAUAUUCCGGACUCGGGUUUGGUGUGUGAUUUGCUUUGGUCUGAUCCUAGUGGAGACGUCAAAGGCUGGGGGAUGAACGAUCGUGGUGUUUCAUACACUUUUGGAGCUGACAAAGUUGCAGAGUUUUUAGAGAAAAACGACAUGGACCUUAUCUGUCGUGCACACCAGGUUGUUGAAGAUGGAUACGAGUUCUUCGCGGAAAGACAGCUUGUUACGGUGUUUUCAGCUCCAAACUACUGUGGGGAAUUCGACAACGCUGGUGCAAUGAUGAGCAUUGACGAGAGCUUAAUGUGUUCAUUCCAAAUUCUAAAGCCGUCGGAUAAGAGAUCGCCGUUUCUAUGACAAGACUGAUUCCAUUUUUAUCACCAUGUUUUUUUAAAUGUAGGUGGUCUCCAAAAGCUGUACACUAGCGAGAGGAUUCUAGAGGCAGGAAACUGCUCAAUUGCGACCUUAGUGGUUCUGAUAAUAGAGCAUUAAGCAAACAAAAGAGACGGUCUCAAACAGUUUAACAACAACUCAGGUCUCCAUAUUUGUCUAAAGAUUGUGUUUUUUCUCUUUUCUCUGAAUACUAUUAGUUUCUCUUAUUUGUAACCUCGUAUUUAUUAUGAGAACCCAAAGUCAAAA